CUCCAGCACACAAGAACUUCCAAACGCUUGAACCGCAGCCACCAGGCGUUCCUCCAGAAGCUCCUCCCCCAGGAGCUUGCUACAAGUGCCAGAAAUCUGGCCACCAGGCCAAGGAAUGCCUGCAGCCCAGGAUUCCUCCUAAGCCGCGUCCCAUCUGUGCGGGACCCCACUGGAAAUCGGACUGUCCCACUCACCUUGGCAGCCACUCCCAGAGCCCCUGGAACUCUGGCCCAAGGCUCUCUGACUCCUUCCCAGACCUUCUUGGCUUAGCAGCUGAAGACUGAAGCUGCCCGAUCGCCUCAGAAUCCCCCUAGACCAUCACGGACGCCAAGCUUCGGGUAACUCUCACAGUGGAAGACAGGAAUGUCAGGCCUCUGAGCCCAAGCUAAGCCAUCAUAUCCCCUGUGACCUGCACGUGCACAUCCAGAUGGCCGGUUCCUGCCUUAACUGAUGACAUUCCACCAUAAAAGAAGUGAAAAUGGCCUGUUCCUGCCUUAACUGAUGACAUCGUCUUGUGAAAUUCCUUCUUCUGGCUCAUCCUGGCUCAAAAGCUCCCCUACUGAGCACCUUGUGACCCCCACUCUGCCCGCCAGAGAACAACCCCCCUUUGAAUGUAAUUUUCCUUUACGUACCCAAAUUCUAUAAAACGGCCCCACCCCAUCUCCCUUCGCUGACUCUCUUUUCGGACUCAACUCACCUGCACCC
rnacentral:lncRNA from 10 species